rnacentral:rRNA from 1 species
GACGAACGCUGGCGGCGUGCUUAAUACAUGCAAGUCGAACGGAAAGACCCUGCUUUUGUGCCGUGCUCGUUUGCCGAACGGGUGUGUAUAACGCGUGUAACAUGCACUUAUCUUUGUGGUAUCUCCACGGGACACGGGCUAAUACCGCAUAGGAUAUCUUGCACCAUGUGGUUGAUUGGAAAGAUUCGGCGGUUGGGGAUGGACUCGCGGCUUAUCGGCUUGAUUGGCGGGUAGUGGCUUACCAAGGCUUUGACGGGUAGCCGGCCUGGGAGGGUUACCGGCCACAAGGGGACUGAGAGACGGCCCAGACGCCUACGGGAGGCAGCGGGGGGGAGUAUUGCGCAAUGGGCGGGAGCCUGAUGCAGAAGCGUCGCGUGCGGGAUGACGUCCUACGGGGUGUAAACCGCUUUCGCCGGUGACGAAGCGGGAGUGACGGUAAUGGGUAAAGAAGCACCGGCUAACUACGUG